ensembl:ncRNA lncRNA:CR45123 long non-coding RNA:CR45123
UUUUCUUGCUUAUUUCCUAUUAGCUGAAAGGCAAGAACAAGAUUGGCACUGCUCGCCGACGGGAAAUCGUUAAACGGUUUUUAAACAACUAGAGAACCAGGUCUGGGACAAGGACAAAGGCCAGCUAAUCCCAAGACGCACGCACAGCAGGAAGCAACCACAAAAAUGUGUAAUUUUAACAGUAACGGAGCAACAGCGACAUCAGUCAUGCAAGGAUAACACCAACAAUAAGGCGUAUCAGAGAUGUGAAGAAGAGGAACAGGACACUAAUGAAAUAAAUGAAACGGCGCUGCUGAAUAUAAUUGAGGAUGGGUCAGGGCGACUUUAAAUGUGGACAAGUGAUGUAGGCAGUGGGUGGUGGCUGCUGACUGAUGGCUGGUGACUACCAAAACAAUUAUUCUUAUCUAGGGUAUUUGGCUGCCAUUGGAGCUGAGCAAGAUCUUCCGAAGCC